rnacentral:rRNA from 1 species
CCUACGGGGGGCUGCAGUGGGGAAUAUUGGGCAAUGGGCGCAAGCCUGACCCAGCAACGCCGCGUGAAGGAAGAAGGCUCUCGGGUUGUAAACUUCUUUUCUGAGGGACGAAGAAAGUGACGGUACCUCAGGAAUAAGCCACGGCUAACUACGUGCCAGCAGCCGCGGUAAUACGUAGGUGGCAAGCGUUAUCCGGAUUGAUUGGGUGUAAAGGGCGUGUAGGCGGGAAAGCAAGUCAGAUGUGAAAACUCAGGGCUCAACCCUGAGCCUGCAUUUGAAACUGUUUUUCUUGAGUGCUGGAGAGGCAGUCGGAAUGCGGGGUGUAGCGGUGAAAUGCGUAGAGAUACGGAGGAACACCAGUGGCGAAGGCGGAUUGCUGGACAGUAACUGACGCUGAGGCGCGAAAGCGUGGGGAGCAAACAGGAUUAGAUACCCCUGUAGUC